GCCAGAUCUCUUAGAACCAAAAAUAAAUCUGUUGUUGAGCUUUGUUAUGAGGUUUUCCCAUAUGAAUAAAUUAAUAACUAGAUUUUUUGCUAGGGUUAGGCAUCAGGUUCUCGAACUGGAAAAUAAAUCUCUGUGGCCCUUUUUAAUUCUAGACGUGGCCACUGAAACCCUGAGUAGAUUCCUUGCCUGGCUUAAUUCAAACAUGAUGUUGGUUCUUAGAACCAGAAAACAUCUCAAUGGCCCUUUUUAAUGCUAGAGGUGCCGGUGAUGGAUAAUAGAUUUUAUAGUUUUCUGCCUGGCGUAAAUGUAGCCCUGGCGAUGGUUCUUAGAACCAGGAAGAAAACCUCAGUGGCCCUUUUUAAUGCUAGGUGUGUGGCCAGUGCUUCAUAACAGAUUUUAGAGCAUUCUUGCCUGCUGUAAAUUUAGCCAUGGCAAGGGUUCUUAGAACCAAAAAAACAUUCUCAAUGGCCUUUUUAAUCCUAGGUUUGGCUGUUGAUGGAUUAUAUUAUAGUUUUCUGCCUGGCGUAAAUGUAGCCCUGGCAAUGGUUCUUAGAACCAGAAAGCAAACCUCAACGGCCCUUUUUAAUGCUAGGUGUGUCCGUUGAUCUAUAGAAGAUAUUGUAGUCUUUGAGGUUGAGGGGAGGAAUGAUGGCACACCUGCUGCCAAUCUUCCUCGAAAGAGACAACGCUUGCUGGGCACGACUGAGGAAGAAACAAAAACAAAAGAAGAAAGAAGAAAAAAGAGAGCAUGAAAACGUCUCCACCUCAAGCCCUGUUAACCUUUGGCUGUGAUGUGGCCUCCUACGCUGUGAGGCCUGUUCUCUGCACCACCUUAGAAGACAGAAGACUCAGUCAUCAGCCUGCAGCGUCGAUGGAAGAAGGAGGAAUGGACCUUUAGAUGAUAGAUUUUAUAUCAUUCUUGCCUGCUGUAAAUUUAGCCAUGGCAAUGGUUCUUAGAACCAAAAAAACCACCUCAACGGCCCUUUUUAAUCCUAUUCUUGGCUGUUGAUGGAUUAUAGAUUUUAUAGUUUUCUGCCUGGCAUAAAUUUAGCCAUGGCAAUGGUUCCUAGAACCAGGAAGAAAAUCUCAUUGGCCCUUUUAAAUGACCAGUAAGUGGCCAGUGCUUCGUAACAGAUUUUAGAGCAUUCUUGCCUGCUGUAAAUUUAGCCAUGGCAAGGGUUCUUAGAACCAAAAAAACAUUCUCAAUGACCUUUUAAAUCCUAGACUUGGCUGUUGAUGGAUUAUAGAUUUUAUAGUUUUCUGCCUGGCGUAAAUGUAGCCCUGGCGAUGGUUCUUAGAACCAGAAAUCAAACCUCAACGGCCCUUUUUAAUACUAGGUGUGUCCGUUGAGCUAUAGAAUAUUUUGUAGUCUUUGAGGUUGAGGGGAGGAACGAUGGCACACCUGCUGCCAAUCUUCCUCGAAAGAGACAACACUUGCUGGGCACAGCAGAGGAAGAAGGAAAAGAAGAAAGAAGAGUAUGAAAAUGUCUCCAGCUCAAGCCCUGUUAGCCUUCGGCUGUGAUGUGGCCUCCUACGCUGUGAGGCCUGUUCUCUGCACCACCUUAGAAGACAGAAGACACAGUCAUCAGCCUGCAGCGUCAAUGGAAGAAGGAGGAAUGGAAUGCAAUAAGGAUGGUUAUUAGAACCAAAAAACCCACCUCAAUGGCUCUUUUUAAUCCUAUUUUUGGCUGUUGAUGGAUUAUAGAUGAUAUAGUUUUCUGCCUGGCGUAAAUUUAGCCAUGGCAAUGGUUCUUAGAACCAGGAAGAAAACCUCAGUGGCCCUUUUAAAUGACCAGUGUGUGGCCAGUGCUUGGUAAGAGAUUUUAUAGCUUUCUGCCUGGUGUAAAUUUAGCCAUGGCAAAGGUUCUUAGAACCAAAAAACCCACCUCAAUGGCCUUUUUAAUCCUGGGCAUGGCUGUUGAUGGAUUAUAUUAUAGUUUUCUGCCUGGCGUAAAGUUAGCCCUGGCAAUGGUUCUUAGAAACUGAAAGAAAAUCUCAACGGCCCUUUUUAAUGCUAGGUGUGUCCGUUGAGCUACAGAAGAUUUUGUAGUCUUUAAGGUUGAGGGGAGGAAGAAUGGCACACCUGCUGCCAAUCUUCCUUGAAAGCGACAAGACUUGCUGGGCACAGCAGAGGACGAAGGAAAAGAAGAGAGCAAGAAAAUGUCUCCAGCUCAAGCCCUGUUAGCCUUCAGCUGUGAUGUUGCCUCCUACACUGUGAGGCCUGUUCUCUGCACCACCUUAGAAGACAGAAGACUCAGUCAUCAGCCUGCAGCGUCGAUGGAAGAAGGAGGAAUGGACCUUUAGAUGAUAGAUUUUAUACCAUUCUUGCCUGCUGUAAAUUUAGCCAUGGCAAUGGUUCUUAGAACCAAAAAAACAUUCUCAACGGCCCUUUUUAAUCCUAGGCGUGGCUGUUGAUGGACUAUAGAUUUUAUAGUUUUCUGCCUGGCGUAAAUUUAGCCAUGGCAAUGGUUCUUAGAACCAGGAAGAAAACAUCAUUGGCCCUUUUAAAUGACCAGUGUGUGGCCAGUGCUUCGUAACAGAUUUUAGAGCAUUCUUGCCUGCUGUAAAGUUAGCCAUGGCAAGGGUUCUUAGAACCAAAAAAACAUUCUCAAUGGCCUUUUUAAUCCUAGGCUUGGCUGUUGAUGGAUUAUAUUAUAGUUUUCUGCCUGGCGUAAAUUUAGCCCUGGCAAUGGUUCUUAGAACCAGAAAGAAAACCUCAACGGCCCUUUUUAAUGCUAGGUGUGUCCGUUGAGCUAUAGAAGAUUUUGUAGUCCUUGAGGUUGAGGGUAGGAAGAAUGGCACACCUGCCAAUCUUCCUCGAAAGAGACAAGACUUGCUGGGCACAGCAGAGGAAGAAGGAAAAGAAGAAAGAAGAGUAUGAAAAUGUCUCCAGCUCAAGCCCUGUUAGCCUUCGGCUGUGAUGUGGCCUCCUACGCUGUGAGGCCUGUUCUCUGCACCACCUUAGAAGACAGAAGACACAGUCAUCAGCCUGCAGCGUCAAUGGAAGAAGGAGGAAUGGAAUGCAAUAAGGAUGGUUAUUAGAACCAAAAAACCCACCUCAAUGGCUCUUUUUAAUCCUAUUUUUGGCUGUUGAUGGAUUAUAGAUGAUAUAGUUUUCUGCCUGGCGUAAAUUUAGCCAUGGCAAUGGUUCUUAGAACCAGGAAGAAAACCUCAGUGGCCCUUUUAAAUGACCAGUGUGUGGCCAGUGCUUGGUAAGAGAUUUUAUAGCUUUCUGCCUGGUGUAAAUUUAGCCAUGGCAAAGGUUCUUAGAACCAAAAAACCCACCUCAAUGGCCUUUUUAAUCCUGGGCAUGGCUGUUGAUGGAUUAUAUUAUAGUUUUCUGCCUGGCGUAAAGUUAGCCCUGGCAAUGGUUCUUAGAAACUGAAAGAAAAUCUCAACGGCCCUUUUUAAUGCUAGGUGUGUCCGUUGAGCUACAGAAGAUUUUGUAGUCUUUAAGGUUGAGGGGAGGAAGAAUGGCACACCUGCUGCCAAUCUUCCUUGAAAGCGACAAGACUUGCUGGGCACAGCAGAGGAAGAAGGAAAAGAAGAGAGCAAGAAAAUGUCUCCAGCUCAAGCCCUGUUAGCCUUCAGCUGUGAUGUUGCCUCCUACACUGUGAGGCCUGUUCUCUGCACCACCUUAGAAGACAGAAGACUCAGUCAUCAGCCUGCAGCGUCGAUGGAAGAAGGAGGAAUGGACCUUUAGAUGAUAGAUUUUAUACCAUUCUUGCCUGCUGUAAAUUUAGCCAUGGCAAUGGUUCUUAGAACCAAAAAAACAUUCUCAACGGCCCUUUUUAAUCCUAGGCGUGGCUGUUGAUGGACUAUAGAUUUUAUAGUUUUCUGCCUGGCGUAAAUUUAGCCAUGGCAAUGGUUCUUAGAACCAGGAAGAAAACAUCAUUGGCCCUUUUAAAUGACCAGUGUGUGGCCAGUGCUUCGUAACAGAUUUUAGAGCAUUCUUGCCUGCUGUAAAGUUAGCCAUGGCAAGGGUUCUUAGAACCAAAAAAACAUUCUCAAUGGCCUUUUUAAUCCUAGGCUUGGCUGUUGAUGGAUUAUAUUAUAGUUUUCUGCCUGGCGUAAAUUUAGCCCUGGCAAUGGUUCUUAGAACCAGAAAGAAAACCUCAACGGCCCUUUUUAAUGCUAGGUGUGUCCGUUGAGCUAUAGAAGAUUUUGUAGUCCUUGAGGUUGAGGGUAGGAAGAAUGGCACACCUGCCAAUCUUCCUCGAAAGAGACAAGACUUGCUGGGCACAGCAGAGGAAGAAGGAAAAGAAGAAAGAAGAGUAUGAAAAUGUCUCCAGCUCAAGCCCUGUUAGCCUUCGGCUGUGAUGUGGCCUCCUACGCUGUGAGGCCUGUUCUCUGCACCACCUUAGAAGACAGAAGACACAGUCAUCAGCCUGCAGCGUCAAUGGAAGAAGGAGGAAUGGAAUGCAAUAAGGAUGGUUAUUAGAACCAAAAAACCCACCUCAAUGGCUCUUUUUAAUCCUAUUUUUGGCUGUUGAUGGAUUAUAGAUGAUAUAGUUUUCUGCCUGGCGUAAAUUUAGCCAUGGCAAUGGUUCUUAGAACCAGGAAGAAAACCUCAGUGGCCCUUUUAAAUGACCAGUGUGUGGCCAGUGCUUGGUAAGAGAUUUUAUAGCUUUCUGCCUGGUGUAAAUUUAGCCAUGGCAAAGGUUCUUAGAACCAAAAAACCCACCUCAAUGGCCUUUUUAAUCCUGGGCAUGGCUGUUGAUGGAUUAUAUUAUAGUUUUCUGCCUGGCGUAAAGUUAGCCCUGGCAAUGGUUCUUAGAACCAGAAAGAAAACCUCAACGGCCCUUUUUAAUGCUAGGUGUGUCCGUUGAGCUAUAGAAGAUUUUGUAGUCCUUGAGGUUGAGGGGAGGAAGAAUGGCACACCUGCCAAUCUUCCUCGAAAGAGACAAGACUUGCUGGGCACAGCAGAGGAAGAAGGAAAAGAAGAAAGAAGAGUAUGAAAAUGUCUCCAGCUCAAGCCCUGUUAGCCUUCGGCUGUGAUGUCGCCUUCUAUGUUGUGAGGCCUGUUCUCUGCACCACUUUAGAAGACAGAAGACUCAGUCAUCAGCCUGCAGCAUUGAUGGAAGAAGAAGGAAUGGACCUUUAGAUGAUAGAUUUUAUACCAUCCUUGCCUGCUGUAAAUUUAGCCAUGGCAAUGGUUAUUAGAACCAAAAAAACCAUCCUCAAUGGCCCUUUUUAAUCCUAGGCUUGGCUGUUGAUGGACUAUAGAUUUUAUAGUUUUCUGCCUGACGUAAAUUUAGCCAUGGCAAUGAUUCUUAGAACCAGGAAGAAAACCUCAUUGGCCCUUUUAAAUGACCAGUGUGUGGCCAGUGCUUCGUAACAGAUUUUAUUCUUGCCUGCUUUAAAGUUAGCCAUGGCAAGGGUUCUUAGAACCAAAAAAACAUUCUCAAUGGCCUUUUUAAUCCUAGGUUUGGCUGUUGAUGGAUUAUAUUAUAGUUUUCUGCCUGGCGUAAAUGUAGCCCUGGCGAUGGUUCCUAGAACCAGAAAGAAAACCUCAAUGGCCCUUUUUAAUGCUAGGUGUGUCCGUUGAGCUAUAGAAGAUAUUGUAGUCUUUGAGGUUGAGGGGAGGAACGAUGGCACACCUGCUGCCAAUGUUCCGAGAAAGAGAAAGAAGAAGAAGAAAAAGAAAAGAAGAAAGAAGAGAGCAAGAAAAUGUCUCCAGCUCAAGCCUGUUAGCCUCCGGCUGUGAUGUGGCUGCCUACGCUGUGAGGCCUGUUCUCUGCACCACCUUAGAAGACAGAAGACACAGUCGUCAGCCUGCAGCUUUGAUGGAAGAAGGAGGAACGGAACGCAAGAAUGAAGAUGAUCUCCAUCGAGAAUGCUACUUCACCGUCAAUCACAAAUGACUUUUAGAAGAAUUGCUGAAACUGUAAGAGACUUUUGGUUCUAAGAGAUCUGGCUGCUUCUGACAUUA